GUCUACGGCCAUGCCACCCUGAACAAGCCCAAUCCCAUCUGAUUUCGGAAGCUAAGCAGGGUCGGGCCUGGUUAAUAUUUAGAUGGGAGACCACCUAGGAACAUCAGGUGCUACAGGCG
rnacentral:rRNA from 1 species